UACGUAGGGUGCGAGCGUUUGUCCGGAAUUAUUGGGCGUAAAGAGCUCGUAGGCGGCCUGUUGCGUCCGCUGUGAAAGCCCGGGGCUUAACCCCGGGUCGGCAGUGGAUACGGGCAGGCUAGAGGUAGGUAGGGGAGAAUGGAAUUCCCGGUGUAGCGGUGAAAUGCGCAGAUAUCAGGAGGAACACCGGUGGCGAAGGCGGGACUCUGGGCCGAUACUGACGCUGAGGAGCGAAAGCGUGGGGAGCAAACAGG
rnacentral:rRNA from 1 species